CCGGUUGAUGAAUUCAUAGGUAAGUUGAUGUAUUGUGCUCUUUACCACUACUGGCCGGUACAAGUAAUGAAAUAUUACUAGGUAGUAUAUAGCUACGAUUUUGUAUACCAAUUCUAAAUAUGUCAGCAGGAGAAGAUAUCGUGCAAUUUUAAUAUUUACUCUUUUCAUUUUUUUUCAUAAAUUGAUUAGCAGAAUCAUGCAAUUUUUUCUUUGAAAAAAGAAGGAUGUUUAUUUGAUUUUCUUUUUAAUAUACUGAUCAUAUAUUUCAUUCAAAACCUGGUUUACAUCUUCUCCAUGAAACUGGAACUGUGGAUAUGGCUUUGCUAGAGAAUUAAAGUCUUUCACAUCAUACACUUGUAUGUUUUUACGUAAGAUGAUCUUUAUGACAAGCAUACAUCACCUCUAUUGCAUACUUUUUGCAAAGAUAGUUUUUUCUCCUCUUUUCUCACUAGAAAAAUUUUCCCUCGUUUUCUCUACCAGUAUCUUCACGAUCCACGAGCCAAAAAUUAUUUUUAUUUUUUGAUUUUUUGAUUUAUCCUGUGUUUGUUUUGCUUCUCCUCAGGGUGGUUCAUCGGCAACUAGAAUCAAUAAAAUGGGCAAGUCAACCAAGAAACCUAAUGUUGAGGUUGUUGUAGCUCCUGUGUCGGCUCUGCUUGCAAAAUUUACUAAAAAAGGCAAGAGGGAUGCGAAAGAAGCAAUGGAGAAACCAGUGAGAGCAAAGAAGCAGAAGAGAGAAGUUGAGCUGGAGAGGGGAAGCAAGAAAAGGAAACCCUCAUAGGAGAAAGUGCUUGCUCCCUCCACUCAUCGCUGAAGGUCGUUUUCUUCCAUGCAAAAAAAAUAGUUUAUAAUGUUUCUGGUCUUGCAGGUGCUGUCAACAAUGUUUUUGAUAUGCAUGGCACUAAAAUGAGAGCUAAAAAUAGCAGCAUCGUUUAUCCGUACUGGAUGUACCAAUGCUUAGCUUAUUAGGAGUUCCCUCUCGUCCCCUACCACCGCCACUACCACGUCAACAUGUUGUUAGAUGUAUGCCCUAGAAGCCAAUCUGGCGGACACAUUAUUAAUUCUAGGACAUAAAUUUGUACUUGAC